rnacentral:lncRNA from 1 species
GAGGUUUGGCCUGGCGUGGUGGCUCAUGCCUGUAAUCCUGAGAGGUGAAGCCAGCUGGACUUCUGGGUCGGACUUGGAGAGCUUUUCUGUCUUACAAGAGGAUUGUAAAAUGCACCAAUCAGUGCUCUGUAAAGACACACCAAUCGGCACUCCGUGGCUAGCUAGAGGUUUGUAAAAUGGACCAAUCAGCACUCUGUAAAAUGGACCAAUCAGCACUCUGUAAAGUGGACCAACCAGCAGGACAUGGGCGGGGACAAAUAAGGGAAUAAAAGCUGGCCACCCCAACCAGCAGCAGCCCCUGGCUUGGGUCCUCGUCUAAGCUGUGGACGCUUUGUUCUUUCGCUCUUCACAAUAAAUCUUGCUCACUCUUUGGGUCCGUGCCGCCUUUAAGAGCUGUAACACUCACCGCGGAGGUCCGCGGCCCCGUUCUUGAAGUCAGCGAGACCACGAACCCACCAGAAGGAACCAACUCCAGACACAAUCCCAGCACUUUGGGAAGUCAGGGCAGGCGGAUCAGGAGGUCAGAAGAUCGAGACCAUCCUGGCCAACAUGGUGAAACCCCAUCUCUACUGAAAAUAUAAAAAUUAGCUGGAUGUGGUGGCGCAUGCCUGUAAUCCCAGCUACUGGGGAGGCUGAGGCAGGAGAAUCCCUUAAACCGGGGAGUUGGAUGUUGCAGUGAGCUGAGAUUGCGCCACAGCUCUCUAGCCUGGCGACAGAGUGAGCCUCCAUCUCAAAACAACAACAACAACAAAAACCAAAAGAAAUGAGGUUUAAUUGACUCACAGUUCCACAGGUUGUACAAGAGGUGUGACUGGGGAGGCCUCAGGAAGCUUACAAUCAUGGUGGAAGGAUGAAGGGGAAGCAAGCACGUCUUCACAUGGCAGUAGGCGGGAGAGUGAGUGAAGGGAGAAGUGCUACACACUUUCAAACAACCAGAUCUCAUGAAAACUCACUAUCACAAGAACAGCAAAAGGGAAAUCCACCCAUGAUCUAAUCAUCUCCCACCAGCUCCCUCUCGCAACAUUGGGAAUUACAGUUCAACAUGCGAUUUGGUGGGGACACAGAGCCAAACCAUAUCACACCCCAUUCAAAGCUAUGAGAUUAUAAAAUGGUCCUUCUCCUGUCACUCAGCUGACUGUAAAUUCAUGCUGGCACAUCCACACCACGGCAGACAGAAGACACUGCUUGGGAGUUCUGUUCUGUCAUCAACGGAGCUGUGAUGACCGUGGAUGUCACUGGUAGUGGCCAACAUUUCUGCAGCUCCUUCUCAGUUACAUCCUCAACACAAACUCCUCACCAGAUAUGCUGUACAUUUAAAGAGGCAAUGCUACUGGGAUUAUGUAGGUUCUAACUCAUUUUAACAAGGGCACUGUCAGGCCUCUAAGCCCAAGCUAAGCCAUCAUAACCCCUGUGACCUGCAUGUAUACAUCCAGAUGACCUGAAGCAACUGAAGAACCACAA